CAGGGGACAAUGCAGACAGAUAAUGUGGCCAUUAGCCAACCACCUCCGGCACAUAUUCCAGAUAUGGGGCCAAUGUCUGAAGGCAGUGGAAUAGUUGAUCAGCCACAACAGACAUCAACCACCAGCUCCAUACAUUCUGAAGAUCAUGUACAAGCAGAGAUGCCCACCA